GGUAGGAUGGCUGAGAUAUAGGCGGUAAAUUGUAAAUUUACGGACGAAGGCUUCUUCUUCUAUCA
rnacentral:tRNA from 1 species